rnacentral:rRNA from 1 species
UACAGAGGGUGCAAGCGUUGUUCGGAAUUAUUGGGCGUAAAGGGCGCGUAGGCGGCGAUUCAAGUGACGGGUGAAAUCCCUCGGCUUAACCGAGGAACUGCCUGUCAGACUGGGUUGCUUGAGACCGGGAGAGGCGAGUGGAAUUCCCAGUGUAGCGGUGAAAUGCGUAGAUAUUGGGAGGAACACCAGUGGCGAAGGCGGCUCGCUGGACCGGAACUGACGCUGAGGCGCGAAAGCGUGGGGAGCAAACAGG